UAAGUUAAUAAGGGCGCACGGUGGAUGCCUUGGCACUAGGAGCCGACGAAGGACGUGACAAACGACGAUAUGCCUUGGGUAGCUGUAAGUAAGCGAUGAUCCAGGGAUUUCCGAAUGGGGGAACCCAACAGGUAAUACCUGUUACCUACAUCUGUUAAGGAUGUGAGGAGGAAGACGCAGUGAACUGAAACAUCUAAGUAGCUGCAGGAAGAGAAAGCAAAAGCGAUUGCCUUAGUAGCGGCGAGCGAAACGGCAGAAGGGCAAACCGAAGAGUUUACUCUUCGGGGUUGUAGGACUGCAAUGUGGACUCAAAGAUUAUAGAAGAAUGAUUUGGGAAGAUCAGCCAAAGAGAGUAAUAGCCUCGUAUUUAAAAUAGUCUUUGUACUUAGCAGUAUCCUGAGUACGGCGGGACACGUGAAAUCCCGUCGGAAUCUGGGAGGACCAUCUCCCAACCCUAAAUACUCCCUAGUGACCGAUAGUGAACCAGUACCGUGAGGGAAAGGUGAAAAGCACCCCGGAGGGGGGUGAAAUAGAACCUGAAACCGUGUGCCUACAACAAGUUCGAGCCCGUUAAAUGGGUGAGAGCGUGCCUUUUGUAGAAUGAACCGGCGAGUUACGUUAUGAUGCGAGGUUAAGUUGAAGAGACGGAGCCGUAGGGAAACCGAGUCUGAAUAGGGCGCCUUAGUAUCAUGACGUAGACCCGAAACCAUGUGACCUACCCAUGAGCAGGUUGAAGGUGCGGUAAGACGCACUGGAGGACCGAACCAGGGCACGUUGAAAAGUGCUUGGAUGACUUGUGGGUAGCGAGAAAUUCCAAACGAACUUGGAGAUAGCUGGUUCUCUCCGAAUUAGCUUUAGGGCUAGCGUCGACAUUAGAGAUUCUUGGAGGUAGAGCACUGUUUGGGUGAGGGGUCCAUCCCGGAUUACCAAUCUCAGAUAAACUCCGAAUGCCAAUGAAUUAUGGUCGGCAGUCAGACUGCGAGUGCUAAGAUCCGUAGUCGAAAGGGAAACAGCCCAGACCACCAGCUAAGGUCCCAAAAUAAUUGUUAAGUGGAAAAGGAUGUGGGGUUGCACAGACAACUAGGAUGUUAGCUUAGAAGCAGCUAUUCAUUCAAAGAGUGCGUAAUAGCUCACUAGUCGAGUGACCCUGCGCCGAAAAUGUACCGGGGCUAAAACAAUUUACCGAAGCUGUGGAUACCUUUAUAGGUAUGGUAGGAGAGCGUUCUAUGUGUGAUGAAGGUAUACCGUGAGGAGUGCUGGAACGCAUAGAAGUGAGAAUGCCGGUAUGAGUAGCGAAAGACAGGUGAGAAUCCUGUCCACCGUAAGACUAAGGUUUCCAGGGGAAGGCUCGUCCGCCCUGGGUUAGUCGGGACCUAAGGAGAGACCGAAAGGUGUAUCCGAUGGACAACAGGUUGAUAUUCCUGUACUAGAGUAUGUAGUGAUGGAGGGACGCAGUAGGCUAACUAAAGCAGACGAUUGGAAGAGUCUGUCUAAGCAGUGAGGUGUGAAUUGAGUCAAAUGCUUAAUUCUAUAACAUUGAGCUGUGAUGGGGAGCGAAGUUUAGUAGCGAAGUUAGUGACGUCACACUGCCAAGAAAAGCUUCUAGCGUUUAAACAUACUCUACCCGUACCGCAAACCGACACAGGUAGUCGAGGCGAGUAGCCUCAGGUGAGCGAGAGAACUCUCGUUAAGGAACUCGGCAAAAUGACCCCGUAACUUCGGGAGAAGGGGUGCUGACUUAAAGUCAGCCGCAGUGAAUAGGCCCAAGCAACUGUUUAUCAAAAACACAGCUCUCUGCUAAAUCGUAAGAUGAUGUAUAGGGGGUGACGCCUGCCCGGUGCUGGAAGGUUAAGAGGAGUGCUUAGCGUAAGCGAAGGUAUGAAUUGAAGCCCCAGUAAACGGCGGCCGUAACUAUAACGGUCCUAAGGUAGCGAAAUUCCUUGUCGGGUAAGUUCCGACCCGCACGAAAGGCGUAAUGAUUUGGGCACUGUCUCAACGAGAGACUCGGUGAAAUUUUAGUACCUGUGAAGAUGCAGGUUACCCGCGACAGGACGGAAAGACCCCAUGGAGCUUUACUGCAGUUUGAUAUUGAGUGUCUGUACCACAUGUACAGGAUAGGUAGGAGUCUAAGAGAUCGGGACGCCAGUUUCGAAGGAGACGCUGUUGGGAUACUACCCUUGUGUUAUGGCCACUCUAACCCAGAUAGGUGAUCCCUAUCGGAGACAGUGUCUGACGGGCAGUUUGACUGGGGCGGUCGCCUCCUAAAAGGUAACGGAGGCGCCCAAAGGUUCCCUCAGAAUGGUUGGAAAUCAUUCGCAGAGUGUAAAGGUAUAAGGGAGCUUGACUGCGAGAGCUACAACUCGAGCAGGGACGAAAGUCGGGCUUAGUGAUCCGGUGGUUCCGUAUGGAAGGGCCAUCGCUCAACGGAUAAAAGCUACCCUGGGGAUAACAGGCUUAUCUCCCCCAAGAGUUCACAUCGACGGGGAGGUUUGGCACCUCGAUGUCGGCUCGUCGCAUCCUGGGGCUGUAGUCGGUCCCAAGGGUUGGGCUGUUCGCCCAUUAAAGCGGCACGCGAGCUGGGUUCAGAACGUCGUGAGACAGUUCGGUCCCUAUCCGUCGCGGGCGUAGGAAAUUUGAGAGGAUCUGCUCCUAGUACGAGAGGACCAGAGUGGACUUACCGCUGGUGUACCAGUUGUCUUGCCAAAGGCAUCGCUGGGUAGCUAUGUAGGGAAGGGAUAAACGCUGAAAGCAUCUAAGUGUGAAACCCACCUCAAGAUGAGAUUUCCCAUGAUUAUAUAUCAGUAAGAGCCCUGAGAGAUGAUCAGGUAGAUAGGUUAGAAGUGGAAGUGUGGCGACACAUGUAGCGGACUAAUACUAAUAGCUCGAGGACUUAUCCA
rnacentral:rRNA from 1 species